rnacentral:rRNA from 1 species
UACGUAGGGGGCAAGCGUUGUCCGGAAUCAUUGGGCGUAAAGCGCGCGUAGGUGGCCCUGUAAGUCCGCUGUGAAAGUCAAAGGCUCAACCUUUGAAAGCCGGUGGAUACUGUGGGGCUAGAGUACGGAAGAGGCGAGUGGAAUUCCUGGUGUAGCGGUGGAAUGCGCAGAUAUCAGGAGGAACACCAAUAGCGAAGGCAGCUCGCUGGGACGUUACUGACACUGAGGCGCGAAAGCGUGGGGAGCGAACAGG